GAGUAACGCGUGAGUAACCUGCCUUUCANAGGGGGAGUAACGUUCUGAAAAGAACGCUAAUACCGCAUAACAUCAAUUUAUCGCAUGAUAGGUUGAUCAAGGAGCAAUCCGCUGAAGAUGGACUCGCGUCCGAUUAGCCAGUUGGCGGGGUAACGGGCCCACCCAAAGCGACGAUCGGUAGCCGGACUGAGAGGUUGAACGGCCACAUUGGGACUGAGACACGGCCCAGACUCCUACGGGAGGCAGCAUG
rnacentral:rRNA from 1 species